AGCAAAAAUCCAACUCCGUUCACCUAAUUCUACAAUAACUUCACUUUCCAUUAACGAAGCUGCAUAUUUAUGUGCUUUGAUUACUCUUGCCCCUCACUCUCUAAGCCGUACUAUACAUAUAGGAGGCAUUAAUUUCUUAGUUAUAAUUUCAUUUAUAUAAGAGGGCUAUGGCUAUCUUGGUAGAUGUCUUUGAAGGGGUAUGUCUAUGUGUUUCAACUCUGUGGGAUCUGCAAGAAAUGCGCUUUGCAAAUGUGUUUGAUGGUCAGGCAGGACAUGGACUGAGUUGUUUUACUCUUGAUAGGUUUGUUUGUAUUGUUGUUGCUAGGAUCGAGUGGUGCGUGGUAAAUAUAACAUCAGACCACCACACCUAGGAGCGUUGGUUGGAAUUGUUUUUGUUGUUCGUUAUUUUCUUUUUCCUCAAAUUCUUGAUAUCUUUUUGUGUUAUAAUCGCAUGAGUUCGCUUUCUCACAAGAAUGCUUCUUCUUCUUUUAUAUAUAUAUACUUGGUAGUUAUUAAAAUCCCCCGAAGACAUCUUUUCGAAGAUUCAAAUGAUUGUCCUCAAAGGGAAGCAAGCUAUUCUUCUUACAAUCUGAUAGAUUGUGUGUUAUGUAUAGAACAAUGUUAUAGGUCAAGAGGUUUUUUUAUAUAUAUAUAAAAAAUGUGUGACAAGCCUUGCUGCUGGAAAA